CACAGCAGCCAUAUCAACUCACAACUGGCAACCCACUGAAGCUAAGCAGGUGUGAGCCUGGUCAGUACCUGGAUGGGAGACCUCUUGGGAAAAACUAAGGUUGCUGCUGGAA
rnacentral:rRNA from 1 species